AUGGCUUUGUGGAGGGGUUUACGAGAGGAACACAAAGUACCAGGAAGGUCAACAUUUGUGUUUGUGGAAACCUAACCCUAGCCGUAGCCAAUGCCCUAUUUCGUUUAUGAAACAGGGCAUUGAUGGAAAGGUAUAAUUAUAGUUUGCCGUUAGAUUUGUUGUGAUACUUGGGGUCCUUAUGAACACAAGUAAUCAACAAAAAUUGUGGUUUGUUCGCCCUUAUUCCACAUAUCAAAAAAGUGUCAGAAAGGGUAUUCUCGUUAAAAACCCCUCUUUUGUUUUUAGAAAUUUU
rnacentral:telomerase_RNA from 1 species